CCUACGGGUGGCAGCAGUGAGGAAUAUUGGUCAAUGGACGCAAGUCUGAACCAGCCAUGCCGCGUGCAGGAAGACGGCUCUAUGAGUUGUAAACUGCUUUUGUACGGGGGUAAACUCAGGUACGCGUAUCUUUCUGAAAGUAUCGUACGAAUAAGGAUCGGCUAACUCCGUGCCAGCAGCCGCGGUAAUACGGAGGAUUCAAGCGUUAUCCGGAUUUAUUGGGUUUAAAGGGUGCGUAGGCGGUCGGAUAAGUUAGCGGUGAAAUACCGAGGCUCAACGUCGGAAUUGCCGCUGAUACUGGUAGGCUAGAGAGUAGUUGCGGUAGGCGGAAUGUAUGGUGUAGCGGUGAAAUGCUUAGAGAUCAUACAGAACACCGAUUGCGAAGGCAGCCUACCAAGCUACGUCUGACGCUGAGGCACGAAAGCGUGGGGAGCAAACAGGAUUAGAUACCCCAGUAGUC
rnacentral:rRNA from 1 species